rnacentral:rRNA from 1 species
ACGUAGGGUGCAAGCGUUAAUCGGAAUUACUGGGCGUAAAGGGUGAGUAGGCGGAUAUACAAGUUAGAUGUGAAAUACCUAGGCUUAACCUGGGAGGUGCAUUUAAUACUGUAUUUCUAGAGUCUGUUAGAGGGGGGUAGAAUUCCAAGUGUAGCAGUGAAAUGCGUAGAGAUUUGGAGGAAUACCGAAGGCGAAGGCAGCCCCCUGGGAUAAGACUGACGCUGAGUCACGAAAGCGUGGGUAGCAAACAGGA